rnacentral:rRNA from 1 species
AGCCUAUACAGGUGUUGCAUGGCUGUCGUCAGCUCGUGUCGUGAGAUGUUGGGUUAAGUCCCGCAACGAGCGCAACCCUCGCCUUUAGCUGCCAGCAUUCAGUUGGGCACUCUAAAGGGACUGCCGGUGUCAAACCGGAGGAAGGUGGGAUGACGUCAAGUCCUCAUGGCCUUUAUGUCUAGGGCUACACACGUACUACAAUGGCAGGUACAAAGGGCAGCGACACAGCGAUGUGAUGCGAAUCCCGAAAAGCCUGUCUCAGUCCGGAUCGGAGUCUGCAACUCGACUCCGUGAAGUUGGAAUCGCUAGUAAUCGUGGAUCAGCAUGCCACGGUGAAUACGUUCCCGGGCCUU